UGACAGUGAAGAUGAUGAAAAUGGUGAUGGUGGCGAUGAAGACGAAGAAGAAGAAGAAAAUCAAGUGGUUCCAUGGUCUUCUACAGCGCCUUCACCGCCGGCUUCGAGUUCUUCUUCUAAUAGUAAUCAAGAAUGCUCCAGUAUGAUGUGUAAUAGCAACGAAGGUUGUUCUCAAUCAAGAAUUACUGCAUUUUCUUUGAAGCGGAUGAGAGAAACCACUGCCGAACAAGCUUCACAGGAUCAUCGUCUGGGAUGCCUGAUAUCCCAAGAUAAUCUAAAUGCGUGUAUG
rnacentral:misc_RNA from 1 species